UACGUAGGAGGCGAGCGUUGUCCGGAGUUACUGGGCGUAAAGGGUGCGUAGGCGGUCGGAUAAGUCUGAUGUGAAAUCUCUGGGCUUAACCCAGAAAUGGCAUUGGAUACUAUUCGGCUAGAGAGUUGGAGGGGGGACUGGAAUUCUUGGUGUAGCAGUGAAAUGCGUAGAUAUCAAGAGGAACACCAGUGGCGAAGGCGAGUCCCUGGACAACUUCUGACGCUGAGGCACGAAAGCCUAGGGGAGCAAACAGG
rnacentral:rRNA from 1 species